CACCCAGCACCCCCAUCGGGCCUCCCUGCGCACACUGCUCUGAGUCGUGCUUUGGUCGGUAACAGGGAACGCUUGCGGUGGCUUCACGCAGCCCACAAGGCACCAUCUGACCUGCCCUCGUGGCCACAGCGCGCCCUGCACUUGGGUUACUCCCACGAGCACUGCCACCACGCUCUUGCCCGUGACCGCUGACCUGGUCUGCGAGUCUCUCAGUUAUGACCAGCACCGCGGGACUCACGGGCCACAGGCACAGGGCGACAUGCCCAGGCUCCGGCGCCCCUUGGCCUCUCUCAGGCCUCCACCCUUCUCUGAGUCACUUUUCCCAAGUGUCUCUCGUUCCCUGAGUCUCCAGCUAGGACCGAGAGACAGGUGUCCCUCCUGCUGUACAUUCUCCUUCUGAAGAGUGGGACAGGCACCGUCACCAGGGCUUAAAUUCGAGCCAGCGUCAUGAGGCGUGUCGAUAACCAACGCCGGAACAUGGUGGGGGUCUGCUGUCACCGGCUGGCCAGUAAACUAGCUUGGUGGUUCCCGAGCUGAGCUCCAACGGUUUCACCAGUAACUACUAACGGAGACCAGCGCGCUCCGGGUCACAGCGACUGAAGAGGUAACAGCGGGACAGGAAUGAGACGGCAUUUUCUAGCGUAUUGACAACACUCAGGAAAAAGCAACUUCCAGCGUCGGGGGUUCAGGGAAACAGGAAGUCUCCAGGAACCGGAAUAAACGUUCACGGCCUCUUCUGUGGGACAGAGGACAACAGAGCCAAGCUGACCCUCUGCCUGGAACAGCCCUCCCAGCCUCCUGCCCUCGGGGGCCAGGCGGGGCAGAGGGCGGGGGAAGUUCUGUAGGAGAACAAAACUUGAACAGAGAACACUUCUGGACCGACUGUCCCAUCAGCUGGAGGUUCAUGUCCCGCGUCCUGGUGUCACGGCCCACUUUGAGGCUGACCUCAAUGUCCUAUUCUUCACUUAGUACAAAACAAGGAUGACUGGAGAAGCAGCGCCAUACAUUUUAGCUGCCGUUUUUAUUCACUGCAGGUGCAUUCUGUCAAGCAUCAACAUCUAAAAUCAGGUUCCCCCUACGGUCCGUG